rnacentral:rRNA from 1 species
UACGUAGGGUGCAAGCGUUAAUCGGAAUUACUGGGCGUAAAGCGUGCGCAGGCGGUUGUGCAAGUCAGAUGUGAAAUCCCCGGGCUCAACCUGGGAACUGCAUUUGUGACUGCACGGCUAGAGUGUGUCAGAGGGGGGUAGAAUUCCACGUGUAGCAGUGAAAUGCGUAGAUAUGUGGAGGAAAACCGAUGGCGAAGGCAGCCCCCUGGGAUAACACUGACGCUCAUGCACGAAAGCGUGGGGAGCAAACAGG